rnacentral:piRNA from 1 species
UUCCAGGGCUAGAAUCUAUGGCUUGUAUGC